AUUGAACGCUGGCGGCAUGCCUUACACAUGCAAGUCGAACGGCAGCACGGGUGCUCGUACCUCUUGGCUGAUGGCGGGCGGGUGGGUAAUACAUGGGUACGUAACCUGUUGAUGGGGGUGGCUCGCCACAAGCAGGAUUAGUUCCGCCCACAUAAUGCCGAAGGACGCAAGAGGCCGACGUUCGUGCCUCUUUCGAUUGGGUGUGUGCCUGUGUGAUUAGCUAGUUGGUGGGGGAAAGGCCUACCAAGGCGACGAUCCCUGGCUGGUAUGAGAGGACGACCAGCAACACUGGGACUGAGACACGGCCCAGACUCCUACGGGGAGCAGCAGUGGGGAAUUUUGGACAAGGGGCGAAAGCCUGAUCCAGCAAUGCCGCGGGUGUGAAGAAGGCCUUCGGGUUGGAAAGCACUUUUGUCCGGAAAGAAAUCCUUGGCCCUAAUACGGUCGGGGGAUGACGGUACCGGAAGAAUAAGCACCGGCUAACUACGUG
rnacentral:rRNA from 1 species